rnacentral:rRNA from 1 species
GUCAAGUCAGCAUGACCUUUAUAUCCAGGGCUACACACACGCUACAAUGGUCUGUACAAUGGGUAGCCAAGCCGCGAGGCGGAGCCAAUCCUGAAAGCAGGCCUCAGUUCAGAUUGCAGUCUGCAACUCGACUGCAUGAAGCCGGAGUUGCUAGUAACCGCAGGUCAGCAAUACUGCGGUGAAUACGUUCCCGGGUCUU